ACCAGUAUGGUGUAGUGGUUUGAGCAUAGGACUGUGAUUCUGGAGACCAGGGUUCAAAUCCCAUGAUGGUC